UACGGGAGGCAGCAGUGGGGAAUAUUGCACAAUGGGCGCAAGCCUGAUGCAGCCAUGCCGCGUGUAUGAAAAAGGCCUUCGGGUUGUAAAGUACUUUCAGUCGUGAGGAAGGUGUUAAGGUUAAUAACCUUAGCAAUUGACGUUAGCGACAGAAGAAGCACCGGCUAACUCCGUGCCAGCAGCCGCGGUAAUACGGAGGGUGCGAGCGUUAAUCGGAAUUACUGGGCGUAAAGGGCACGCAGGCGGUUAAUUAAGUUGGAUGUGAAAUCCCCGGGCUUAACCUGGGAAUGGCAUUCAAGACUGGUUAGCUAGAGUCUUGUAGAGGGGGUAGAAUUCCAUGUGUAGCGGUGAAAUGCGUAGAGAUGUGGAGGAAUACCGGUGGCGAAGGCGGCCCCUGACAAAGGACUGACGCUCAUGUGCGAAAGCGUGGGGAGCAAAC
rnacentral:rRNA from 1 species